CGGAGCUAGACGACGCCUCUGAGAGCUGGCAGCUACGGCCUCCUGUAACUCUCUCAAAAUUAUUGGUUUGGAGCGGCUGCAGGUUGAGUGGCUGCAGCGGCUGCAGGAGGUUGAGCGGAUACAGGAAGAGCGGCUGCAGGAAGAGCCUCCCCUGCCAGAUUCUCAGCUGGCACAGGCUCGUUGAAAUUUGGGAAUACCAUAGUUCGGUGAUGGGCAAGAGUGAAACACUUCAGACAUUAUCCUAUACUAAAUAUCAGAUCCGUAUGUGUUCGAAUUCCCACUCCAGACCACUGGAUGUAAUAACUAGUAAUCUUUCAAAUGCGCAACCCCAAUCCAGCUCGCUCGCUCUCUCUCUCUCUCUGUCUCUUUUGCUCUCCUGCUGAGAAAGGUGAAUGUGGAUUUGUGUGGUUUGAAUGGC